UCUUUCAUUUACAAACUGAAUAAACUAUUGUCUUUCUAUGACUAGAAAAUGAACAUAUUUUUAAGUUAAAUUGUUCCCUAAUCUAUUUAAGCUGUCUGAAAAGAUUUAAGAACAAGCGUUUUGUAUUGUUUCCAUUCUUAAGUUAGAGAAGAAGAUAUAAGUUCUUUGCAGUACAGUUUGGUGGUCGAGGAUAAAAGGACAUUUACGGGAUAAUUUGGUAAAUGUUAGCACUUUAUUCAGAAAAUACCUAAGUGAACUUUAGACUUUGUACAUGAAGUCCAAGAUGCUAACCGCAAUUUGUUUGGCACUGAUAACGGGAUGCACUUUAUCCAUUACCGUUGCUGCGGAUGAUACCGUUAUCAAUGAUACAAUAAGUGGACAGACGCUUGUGGAUCUGGGCCAGGAAGUCGACGAACCAUUUCUGAAGCUGAUUGGGAAAAUCAUCAUAAAGCUUGAACAAAAAGUCAGUACGCGGAACGACGAAAGAGUGAUAGAGGAAAUAUGUCGUUUACAUAACUGUACAGACUGGAAUGAAUGGUCGCGGUGUGAUACCCGAAAAUUUGGAGAAUUUGGAAGUCGAAACCGCAGCAGAACCUGUGGAUUCAAUACUAUUCUUUGCAAAACCCAUUCUGCACCCAAAGUUGAAUUCGAGUCGGAGGUUUGUGAAAGCACUUGUCCGAAUACUUAUACCAAAACAAAACACGGUUUCUGUAUCAAAUUGUACUUAGACAAGAAAAACAGACAUGACGCGGAGAAGGUGUGCCUGCAUGAUGGAGGACAUCUUGUGAACAUUGACUCUGCAACUAAAGUUCAGGACAUUAACGAAACAUUAACAAAACAUUUUAUUAACUACGAUGGUGUUUGGAUAGAUGGCAUUAGAUCCGAAGGAAGUAAAGUGUGGAAGUACUCAGUUGAACCAACCGAUGCGUCAUUCACGUUUUGGGGAGUAAACGAGCCUGAUCUCUUUGAUAACGAACUCUGCAAGGUGUACUAUUUUCAUCCAACUCUCAAGCGAUGGCGCUGGCAUGACGGAGUUUGCUCACAUAUACGUUAUUUCAUAUGCCAGAUCAUUACUCAGUAAAAGAAUUUUUGCAAGAAUAAGAGACCUGAUUGACACACACAAAAAAGAAAACAACAAUAAAAACAACAACAACAAAAAAAUCAACGUUUUAAUCAUAAAGUAAAAACGGAGUCAUUGGUGACAAACUUGCAGAAAUGCAACGAUAGUUGUUUUCUCGACAUGGUAAUCUUCGGAUUUCAAUAUAUUUAGGAAAGAAAAAGAAAUAAUUAUGAUUUUAAGAGUUUUGACUUUAAAAAAAAGCCUUUACCAUUUGUCAGUAGUUAACGUGUAAUUUAUAAUUGCGUGUUGCUUGAUAUUUCUGUAGUUUAUCUGAAUAUUUUAAUGAAUCGUUUUAAUGAAUCGUAUAGUAACAUCUGUUGUGUUUUGUUACCGGUAUUUUAAUCUUAUUUGGACAGGCAUUCGGCGUAUACUACGCAAUAAUCUGUUACAAAAUCAUCGGCGUGAAGUUGGCAGUACAGCAGUAGCAGCAGUUAACUGCUGCUACUGCCAGCAGUUACAGCAGUCAACUGCUCCUACUGCCAACAGUUAUAGCAGUUAAUAAGCUGUUACACUAGUUUGAUGAUGUUGAUGACAUAAAGUAUUUUGUGUAAAUAAAAACGUUCUACUUCUUUGCAAUAUACAUCACAUCAAGUAAAUCCCUAUAUUAGUACAUUCAGUGCAUCUAAAUGUUUCCUUUUUGUACCGUUAUUUCAAGCACAAAAUUGGAGAGAGGGGUGCACUACCUACCCCCGCCUCCCACCCACCCCUCCCCACUUCCUUGCUCCUACGCCUAUGGUAAAGUUUGAUGUAAUUAAAAUGAAAGUAGAAAAACGCGCGCUUUUCUAGAUAGUUACAUGUAUGAUCAAUUAUGGUUUCGUAUUUGGCACGUUUUCUAAUUAAAAUGAGUACUUGUAUUUUAUAGGCAUAGCAUAUAUAUUCAGUGAGAUAUAUUUUAAGAUUAUUGACGUGAAGAUAGGAAUAAAUAUUAACAAACAGUUGCAUGCUGUGGAAUCGAAUUUCCUGGCUCCGUAAAGACACUUAACUAGGUUUUAGGACUGCAUCUAUCGCAUCAUGUGUGUGUGUGUGUUCGGGUUUAACGUCUUUUUCAACAUUUCUUUAGUCAUAUAAACGACGGUGUCUACUUGUAGCAGUGAGCACAAUGCGCAACUUUAUGGUGAUGCCUCACUAGAAUAUCACGCCGUAGACACGUGACAUGAUAUCCCACCCAGUCACAUUAUACUGACACGGGGCUGACCAGACCUAGCACUAUCCUCUUAAUGCUGAUCGCCAAGCGAGGAAGCUGAUAGUACCAUAUUUUACGUCUUUCGUAUGACGCGGCCAGGGAUCGAACCCAAGACCUUCCGCUCUCGAGGCGGACGCUCUACCACUAGGCUACCCAGGCGGUUCUAUCGCAUCAUGUACAUUUGGUAAAAGCGAGAAGUUUGGGGGUCCCCAGCUCCGCCCCAGACCUUGAGGUUUGGAUCGGACCGGGUGGCCAUUGUAGAGAGGGUUGUCCCCCACCAGGCACGGGUGGCCGCAAUUCCGGGAAAACUCUUGUUUGGGAGAAACCCGGGUCGAGGUGUGAGGCGGGGGUGGGUCGGGGGUGGCCUAAAAUCGUUCCAGCAGUUAAUAGGAGGUCCCUAUGGGAUCUUGAGUUUGGGUUGAGACCGGGUGGCCGUUGUAGAGGGUGACGGUCUCUGGGUGGCCAGCAUAGUGGCUAUUCCGGGAAAACUCUUGUUUACUCGUGAGUGGGUCUCAAAGAUGGUUUUAGGUCAUUUUCGGAAUUUUCCAUUUUCUUCAGUUUGGGCGCCCCCAGCUCUGCCCCAGACCUUGAGUUUUGGAUCGGACCGGGUGGCCAUUGUAGAGAGGGUUGUCCCCCACCAGGCACGGGUGGCCGCCAUUCCGUGAAAACUCUUGUUUGGGAGAAACCCGGGUCGAGGUAGGGCGGUUUUUGCCGGGAAAAGUCUUGUUUUGGGGAACUCGGGGUUGAAGCUUUCUUUUAAGAAAUUGAUACGAAACUGUUUAAUGCUCUCGUUGUCUGUAACAAGAGGUUGUUAAUUGCUGCCACAAACCAUUUUACUUCUAGCAGUAACAGGAGCCUCUUAACUUGGUCGCUUUCAUAAAACAUGUUUAUCUCUGGUAGUUACAUGUAGAAAACUGAUAUACUGGUCUUAUACGAUGUUAUUAUUUGAAUGCUGACAGUAACACAAAAAACUCGAAAACUCCUUUCAUUGGUCAUUUCACUGUUAGUAGUGACAGGAGUCUGGUACUAGUAACUGCUCUCAUACACCUCUUAACUGCUGGCAGAAACAUAAAUGAGAAUUGUAAAUAAUUUAACUGCUGGUAUUACAAAAUGUAUAGGUGAAUUUUAAACUAUCUCGUAUAAACCAGUUAACUGCUAGCAAUAACAGAUAUAAACACCUAGUAAACUGCUCUCAUAAAUCAUUAACAUAUAUGUAACAGAUAAAUUGUUCUUAGCAAUAUUUAAAUUCUAGCAAUUACGAAUAUAGGAGACUGGUGAACGUUCUCAUAAACAAUUUAACUGCUGGCAGUAAAAUGGUAAGAAAGAUGACGAUACUGCUCUUAGUAACAUCAUUCUAUUGCUGGCAUCAUUAAUUACCUGUAGUAACAUAAACAGGAAACUGUAUGAAGCGGAUCGUAGAGACAUCAUGUAACUGUUGACAGUAACAUCUAUCUGACACUGAUACCAGAUAUCGUCAUUUAACUGAUAUAGGAAAUAUAAAAAACAACUCAAAAAUUCGUAUUUCAACAGCUUUCAAUAUCAUAUAGAAAACUCCAAAAACUGCAGUAAGUGACAUCUAUAUGUGUCAUUCUCAUCAUCUAACUGGUAAUACAACUUUAUGGAUUGUUGUAACUGCUGGCAGAGCAGAUAACUGGUGUUAGUACACACGAUCAGUUGCUGUAACUGCUGGUAGAUAACUGCUACACGCAAUGAACUGCUGUAACUGCUGGCAGUAGGAGCAGUUUACUGUUGUAACUGCUGGCAGUAGGAGCAGUUAACUGCUGUAACUGCUGGCAGUAGCAGCAGUUAACUGCUCCUACUGCUGCUACUGCUGUACUGCCAACUUCACGCCGAUUACAAAAUCGGACAUUUUAUUGUUUUCAUUAAGUCAUCACAGAUUUAUUAACACGAUAAUGAUGAAUGAAAGGAGUUACAGCAAAAGAAACAAAAGAAUAAAUAAUAAUGUACAUGUGCUUACAUCCUCAGUCAUACUAACUUAAUUCCCCUGGGAUCUUAACGGACAUAAUUCAUUCAAAUAUUUUUAUUUCUUGCACAGUGGUACCAAAAUAAGGCACUUUUCAGGUGUUGUUAUUCUAUCAUAUAUUUGUAUCUUUAGUUACUUUAAAAUAAUGAAAAUUUUACUGUGUCCUUUCGGGCUUAAAAAUGUACAAUACACUAGUGAGUAAACAUUUAAAAUAUGUAUUGAAAAACUUCAAGAAAAACCCCUAUUGAUAUGUUUACUUCGUAGUUGUCCCAGUGUUUACAGAAGAAAUUCCAUCAGUGCUAGAUAUAUAAGAAAAAACUUUAUCAUCGACUUCUUCUGAUGAAUUAGACGAUAGGUAUACACUAAACUAUUGUCCCAGUGUUUACACUCACCCGGUCACCCCCGCUGUCCCCAUCCCCCAACCCGCAUCUCUUUCUUCUUAGAACUAGGAUAUUAACUGCAAUAUUUAAUUGAAUUUCUCAUGUUGUAAAAUUUGUGAUAUUAACACAAAAAGACUUAUUCGCGAAGUAAAAUUUAUUUAAAACUUACACUCAUUGUGUCGAAUAAAAUAUUCAAUCACAAAUUAACUAAACUGAUUAAAUCAUAUACUUUAACCUUUUGAUCACGAUACCGCAUGUUCACGUUACAUGUCGUCUGCACAUGACGCUACAACAACAACUUCGCAAAGAAGUUAAUUAUUCUUCAAAAUCAGUGGAAAUUAACCGUCUUAGAACGAAUCAAAUUUUUAUUUUACAAAAAUGAAAUAAAUACCAUUCAAAAGACAAAUUUAUCGAGAGUAGGAAACCAUUUGCAUCUAAGCUUUCAUAUUACUGGUUUUAUCCAAAAAAUUACUUUUAAGAAACGCAUGUGUGAGAUUUUUACAAAUUUUAUAUGGAAAAUAGAAGGGGAAAGAUGACGAAAUGAUGGCAUUAAACAUCAUGUUAGGAACGAAUCAAAAAUAAAAAUAAAAUUUAAUUUAAAAAUAC